GUUGAAAUUUGUCCUCCAAGUAUCUUUUAAUUGGCUCGUCAUCUUUGAGAGAAUCCAUUAAUCUUUUGAUUUCAGUAUUAGAUUGAUAGGAAACCCACGACGAGUAUGCUUCUAACCUUUUUGUGCUCUAAAGGUAUUCCAACUCGAUAAAUGGGAAGUUCUCGGAAAUAUUUUAUUUCAGAGUUUGGGAAACUCAUUCCAUUUUUAUGUAACUCGUCAGCUUCGUUCACAAGUAUCCAAAGAUUUGUACCGAAAUCCAUUAUCCAAUACUAUUUCCAAUAGAAUCAAUGCCCAAAAACUCACUCAACAAAAAAUUCAGUGUUUCGGUGCCUAACCACCGUAAGGGUUCUUAAAAGCUAGUAUCUCAGUCCUAGCAGAAAUCUUUUUGAGGUCGCUUAGCAUUGGUGCACUCUGAGUUAUAUGAUCUGAAGAAUCAUCUUGACCUUUAGAUAUCCCUUGAAAGCUGCCAAUCCCAAUUCCAGUUUCAUUGAGAGAAUAUUUUCUAUUUUCCUCAAGGCUUGCAAUUCUAGAGAAUUAGAAUUUUUGUCUUGAUUUGAGGAAGAUUCACAUUUCAUAAUGUGUUCUCUCACAAGAGCUGUAUCUACUUCUCGUAAGCGCCAACACCUUCAAGUCGUCCAUCAAAUCUAAAUGCUAAUACGGAUCAGAGAAUAUCAUUAAACUUUGCUUCUAAAGAAGGUGCUUCUGGAAAGAUUGAUGCUGAAUGUUCACCAACUUUCUUAGAUGAGGUAUUUGAUGAAAAUUCAACAGUUGCUGUAUUUUGCUGCUGCCUUGAAGAAAGCCAUAGAGCAGGCUCAAACUAGCUGAAUCGCUUGCUGCUGAUAUUAAGAGAUGGACCAUAGGAAAGGAGGGGAACUUGCUUGCACUUCUCUCGACCUUGCAAUAUCUUACAGGAAGGCUACUUUUUAUGUACGUCCUAACGAAGUGCAGCAAAGAGGAGUUGCCAUUCAGCAAAACACAUAUGCGACGAUAAGGUUCUCGACGUUCUAAGGCUGCAUGGAACAAGUUCAACUCAGAGGAGAGGUGGAUAAUAAUGUAAUAGCAAAAUUAUCCGGAAUGUAUUUAUUUACUUCAAUUUAUUUUUUCUGGUCUAUUUCCCUAAUAUCACCAGGUGGGAGAACUGAAAUUGUGCUAGUGAAAUGCUUAUUUUCACAUCAAGGCCAUAAUGUGUUACCAGUUGAUAUGCACAAAUGAAUUUUCUUACAACGCAAUGUAAGCAGGUUUUCCAUUUUGACUGUGCUUUUUAUGAACUUGUAGAAGUUCAGCAGCGUGAGCACCUGACCCUUCCCAAAU